CAGUCGCCACGGUAAUACGUAGGGUGCAAGCGUUAAUCGGAAUUACUGGGCGUAAAGCGUGCGCAGGCGGUUAUAUAAGACAGAUGUGAAAUCCCCGGGCUCAACCUGGGAACUGCAUUUGUGACUGUAUAGCUAGAGUACGGCAGAGGGGGAUGGAAUUCCGCGUGUAGCAGUGAAAUGCGUAGAUAUGCGGAGGAACACCGAUGGCGAAGGCAAUCCCCUGGGCCUGUACUGACGCUCAUGCACGAAAGCGUGGGGAGCAAACAGGAUUAGAUACCCCUGUAGUCCCUGUCUCUUAUCC
rnacentral:rRNA from 1 species